rnacentral:rRNA from 1 species
CCCUUAGAUGUUCUGGGCCGCACGCGCGCUACACUGAUGAAUGCAACGAGCUCUACCCUUGACCGAAAGGCCCGGGUAAACUUGUGAAACUUCAUCGUGAUGGGGAUAGAUUGUUGCAAUUAUUAAUCUUCAACGAGGAAUUCCUAGUAAGCGCGAGUCAUCAGCUCGCGUUGAUUACGUCCCUGCCCUUUGUACACACCGCCCGUCGCUCCUACCGAUUGAAUGGUCCGGUGAAAUCUUCGGAUUGCUGACCAAGAUCCAGCAAUGGAGCUUGGUUGCGAGAAGUUGAUUAAACCUUAUUAUUUAGAGGAAGGAGAAGUCGUAACA